rnacentral:tRNA from 1 species
GGAGGUAUAGCUCAGUGGCAGAGUGCUAUGCUUAGCAUGCACGAGGUCCUGGGUUCAAUCCCAGUACCACCG